rnacentral:rRNA from 1 species
GACGAACGCUGGCGGCGUGCCUAAUACAUGCAAGUCGAACGAACCGCGACUAAGUGCUUGCACUAAGUCAAGGUGAGUGGCGAACGGGUGAGUAGCACGUGGGUAACCUACCUCAUAGUGGGGGAUAACAGUCGGAAACGACUGCUAAUACCGCAUAGGACAUAGGAUCACAUGAUCCAGUGAGGAAAGGUGGCGCAAGCUAUCGCUAAGAGAUGGACCCGCGGUGCAUUAGCUAGUUGGUAGGGUAAAGGCCUACCAAGGCGAUGAUGCAUAGCCGACCUGAGAGGGUGAUCGGCCACAUUGGGACUGAGACACGGCCCAAACUCCUACGGGAGGCAGCAGUAGGGAAUCUUCCGCAAUGGACGCAAGUCUGACGGAGCAACGCCGCGUGAGUGAAGAAGGUCUUCGGAUCGUAAAGCUCUGUUGUUAGAGAAGAACAGCGCAUAGAGUAACUGCUAUGCGUGUGACGGUAUCUAACCAGAAAGCCACGGCUAACUACGUG